rnacentral:rRNA from 1 species
UACGAAGGGGGGCUAGCGUUGCUCGGAAUCACUGGGCGUAAAGGGUGCGUAGGCGGGUCUUUAAGUCAGGGGUGAAAUCCUGGAGCUCAACUCCAGAACUGCCUUUGAUACUGAAGAUCUUGAGUUCGGGAGAGGUGAGUGGAACUGCGAGUGUAGAGGUGAAAAUUCGUAGAUAUUCGCAAGAACACCAGUGGCGAAGGCGGCUCACUGGCCCGAGUACUGACGCUGAGGCACGAAAGCGUGGGGAGCAAACGGGG